AGGAGUGUAGCUCAGUUGGUAGAGCAUCGGUCUCCAAAACCGAGUGUCGGGGGUUCGAGUCCCUCCUCUCCUGCCA
rnacentral:tRNA from 20 species